rnacentral:rRNA from 1 species
CGGAUUGGCAAGUCCCUUGUGAAAUCGGACGGCUUAACCGUUCGGCGUGCAAGGGAAACUGUCGAUCUUGGGGUUGGCAGGCGUCAAGGGUACUCCAGGGGUAGCGGUGAAAUGCUAUAAUCCCUGGGGGACCGCCAGUGGCGAAAGCGCUUGGCGAGACCAAACCCGACGGUGAGGGACGAAGGCCAGGGGAGCAAACCGGAUUAGAUACCCGGGUAGUCCUGGCUGUAAAGGAUGUGGGCUAGGUGCCUGGUGUUCCUCGAGAACGUUAGGUGCCGAAGGGAAGCCGUUAAGCUCACCGCCUGGGAA